UUCAUUCUGACAUGUAAAUAUUUAUUGUGUUUCAUUCUGACAUGUAAAUAUUUGUGUUUCAUUCUGACAUUUCAUUCUGACAUGUAAAUAUUUAUUGUGUUUCAUUCUGACAUGUAAAUAUUUGAUGUGUUUUUUUAUCCUUUUAUUGUAACUCUGACCGUCAAUGACACAUUUUCAUUCUGUUUAAACGUACUAGACAAUAAGGUUUGUCUUAUCUGCUUAUCUUAAAGCUAUCUUAGUCUCUGGAUCAUUCAUUCUGUUUAAACGUACUAGACAAUAAGGUUUGUCUUAUCUGCUUAUCUUAAAGCUAUCUUAGUCUCUGGAUCAUUCAUUCUGUUUAAACGUACUAGACAAUAAGGUUUGUCUUAUCUACUUAUCUUCAAGCUAUCUUAGUCUCUGGAUCAUUCAUUCUGUUUAAACGUACUAGACAAUAAGGUUUGUCUUAUCUGCUUAUCUUAAAGCUAUCUUAGUCUCUGGAUCAUUCAUUCUGUUUAAACGUACUAGACAAUAAGGUUUGUCUUAUCUACUUAUCUUAAAGCUAUCUUAGUCUCUGGAUCAUUCAUUCUGUUUAAACGUACUAGACAAUAAGGUUUGUCUUAUCUACUUAUCUUAAAGCUAUCUUAGUCUCUGGGUCAUUCAUUCUGUUUAAACGUACUAGCCAAUAAAGUUUGUCUUAUCUGCUUAUCUUAAAGCUAUCUUAGUCUCUGGAUCAUUCAUUCUGUUUAA